AACGAACGCUGGCGGCAGGCUUAACACAUGCAAGUCGAACGCAUCCUUCGGGGUGAGUGGCAGACGGGUGAGUAACGCGUGGGAACGUGCCCUUCAGUUCGGGAUAACCCAGGGAAACUUGGGCUAAUACCGGAUACGUGCGAGAGCAGAAAGAUUUAUCGCUGAAGGAUCGGCCCGCGUCUGAUUAGCUAGUUGGUGGGGUAAUGGCCCACCAAGGCGACGAUCAGUAGCUGGUCUGAGAGGAUGAUCGGCCACAUUGGGACUGAGACACGGCCCAAACUCCUACGGGAGGCAGCAGUGGGGAAGAUUGGACAAUGGGCGCAAGCCUGAUCCAGCCAUGCCGCGUGAGUGAUGAAGGCCUUAGGGUUGUAAAGCUCUUUCGUCCGGGACGAUAAUGACGGUACCGGAAGAAGAAGCCCCGGCUAACUUCGUGCCAGCAGCCGCCGUAA
rnacentral:rRNA from 1 species